ACUCCUACGGGAGGCAGCAGUAGGGAAUAUUGCACAAUGGGCGAAAGCCUGAUGCAGCAACGCCGCGUGCACGAUGAAGGCCUUCGGGUCGUAAAGUGCUUUUCUGCGAGAUGAGAAAGGACAGUAUCGUAGGAAUAAGUCUCGGCUAACUACGUGCCAGCAGCCGCGGUAAU
rnacentral:rRNA from 1 species